AGUGAACGCUGGCGGUAGGCCUAACACAUGCAAGUCGAACGGCAGCACAGUAAGAGCUUGCUCUUACGGGUGGCGAGUGGCGGACGGGUGAGGAAUACAUCGGAAUCUACUUUUUCGUGGGGGAUAACGUAGGGAAACUUACGCUAAUACCGCAUACGACCUACGGGUGAAAGCAGGGGAUCUUCGGACCUUGCGCGAUUGAAUGAGCCGAUGUCGGAUUAGCUAGUUGGCGGGGUAAAGGCCCACCAAGGCGACGAUUCGUAGCUGGUCUGAGAGGAUGAUCAGCCACACUGGAACUGAGACACGGUCCAGACUCCUACGGGAGGCAGCAGUGGGGAAUAUUGGACAAUGGGCGCAAGCCUGAUCCAGCCAUACCGCGUGGGUGAAGAAGGCCUUCGGGUUGUAAAGCCCUUUUGUUGGGAAAGAAAAGCAGCAGGUUAAUACCCCGCUGUUCUGACGGUACCCAAAGAAUAAGCACCGGCUAACUUCGU
rnacentral:rRNA from 1 species